rnacentral:misc_RNA from 1 species
AUGAAGAACGUAGCGAAAUGCGAUACGUAAUGUGAAUUGCAGAAUUCAGUGAAUCAUCGAGUCUUUGAACGCACAUUGCGCCCCCUGGUAUUCCGGGGGGCAUGCCUGUCCGAGCGUCAUUGCUGCCCUCAAGCACGGCUUGUGUGUUGGGCCUCCGCCCCCCGGCUCCCGGGGGGCGGGCCCGAAAGGCAGCGGCGGCACCGCGUCCGGUCCUCGAGCGUAUGGGGCUUCGUCACCCGCUCCGUAGGCCCGGCCGGCGCCCGCCGGCGACCCCCCUCAAUCUUUCCAGGUUGACCUCGGAUCAGGUAGGGAUACCCGCUGAACUUAAGCAUAUCAAUAAGCGGAGGA